AAUCUAGAGUAAUACACGUUGCCUAAUCCUCUCCCUCCAGGUGUCCCUCAUCGAUUUCUCUCGAGCAUACCAGUCAGUCUUUCUUUCUCUUCUCUUUUCUAUUCUUCCUCUUUCCCGCAAAGAAAUUGGUGUUCCUUCCCUCACUCAAAGGCUGUGUUUGAACAAUAGCUCUCAAAGGAUUUCUUUGAUUCCCCUUGUCUAAGAGUCUCUGAAGUUCUCCAAUUGAAAUAGGCACAGCUUUAUGGCUGCAAGUGGCUGGAUUGCGAUAGUAGAUUGGGUGUUUGCCUUUGAGCUCGGAUUGCUUCGGCGAUGAUGUAAAGUGGAUUUGCUGUCGUUUGAAUUGGGUGAUGGUAUUUGGAGUUUGCUCGAGUUAUCUCUUGAAGUUUUGGCUGCUGAUUGCUUGGACUUGAGGUAGUCCAGAAGUGGACAAGUUAAUGAUAUUGAUGUCUUCUUGAGCUGAAGUUUUGGUAUUAUUCUGUGAUGGUGUUGGCUGUGCUUCACUUGUGUCCGAGUGCUUGUGUUCUCUUGGACUGCAUUGCGUUGUUAUAAUUAAAUGGAGUAUGUUGUUGAUGUUACCUUGUUUUAAAAGGGUUAGAAUUUCUAUGUAGCUUUGAGAUAGUAACCUGGUAAAGAUUUGAUACCAAAUGUGAUGGUUCUUCUAAAAAGUAUUUUCCAUGUACGUACAAAAUGUAGAGUCGUAUCCAGCAUUCCUCUUAUCAGAUUUAAUUAUUCCUGUGUACUUUUGAAAGGAUUCUACAUUUAUCCAUUGCUACUGUACAGUGUUACAAACUUUGAAAGAGUGUAGUUGUAUUUCUUGGGAUGUUUAUUGCUCAAGUUCAUGUUCAAUGUUGUUAUUAGAGAGAUUCCUCAGGCAAAUAUUUUG